rnacentral:rRNA from 1 species
GCAAGUCGAACGGCAGCGCGGGGCAACCUGGCGGCGAGUGGCGAACGGGUGAGUAAUAUAUCGGAACGUACCCAAGAGUGGGGGAUAACGUAGCGAAAGUUACGCUAAUACCGCAUACGAUCUCAGGAUGAAAGCAGGGGACCGCAAGGCCUUGUGCUCCUGGAGCGGCCGAUAUCUGAUUAGCUAGUUGGUGAGGUAAAGGCUCACCAAGGCGACGAUCAGUAGCUGGUCUGAGAGGACGACCAGCCACACUGGAACUGAGACACGGUCCAGACUCCUACGGGAGGCAGCAGUGGGGAAUUUUGGACAAUGGGCGCAAGCCUGAUCCAGCAAUGCCGCGUGAGUGAAGAAGGCCUUCGGGUUGUAAAGCUCUUUUGUCAGGGAAGAAACGGUGGAGGCUAAUAUCCUUCGCUAAUGACGGUACCUGAAGAAUAAGCACCGGCUAACUACGUGCCAGCAGCCGCGGUAAUACGUAGGGUGCAAGCGUUAAUCGGAAUUACUGGGCGUAAAGCGUGCGCAGGCGGUUUUGUAAGUCUGUCGUGAAAGCCCCGGGCUCAACCUGGGAAUUGCGAUGGAGACUGCAAGGCUUGAAUCUGGCAGAGGGGGGUAGAAUUCCACGUGUAGCAGUGAAAUGCGUAGAGAUGUGGAGGAACACCGAUGGCGAAGGCAGCCCCCUGGGUCAAGAUUGACGCUCAUGCACG